UUUACAAUGGAGAGUUUGAUCCUGGCUCAGGAUGAACGCUAGCGGCAGGCUUAAUACAUGCAAGUCGAGGGGCAGCGGGGUAGCAAUACCGCCGGCGACCGGCAAACGGGUGCGGAACACGUACAGAACCUUCCUUUAAGCGGGGGAUAGCCCGAAGA
rnacentral:rRNA from 1 species